rnacentral:rRNA from 1 species
GACGAACGCUGGCGGCGUGCUUAACACAUGCAAGUCGAGCGGUAAGGCCCUUUCGGGGGUACACGAGCGGCGAACGGGUGAGUAACACGUGGGUGACCUGCCCUCAGCUCUGGGAUAAGCCUGGGAAACCGGGUCUAAUACUGGAUAUGACUCCAUGACGCAUGUUGGUGGGGUGGAAAGCCUUGUGCGGCUGAGGAUGGGCCCGCGGCCUAUCAGCUUGUUGGUGGGGUGAUGGCCUACCAAGGCGACGACGGGUAGCCGGCCUGAGAGGGCGACCGGCCACACUGGGACUGAGACACGGCCCAGACUCCUACGGGAGGCAGCAGUGGGGAAUCUUGCGCAAUGGGCGAAAGCCUGACGCAGCGACGCCGCGUGA